rnacentral:rRNA from 1 species
GACGAACGCUGGCGGCGUGCUUAACACAUGCAAGUCGAACGGAAAGGCCCCAGCUUUCUGGAGUACUCGAGUGGCGAACGGGUGAGUAACACGUGGGUAACCUGCCCUGCACUCUGGGAUAAGUCUGGGAAACUGGGUCUAAUACUGGAUAUGACCUUUCUCUUUAUAGGGUUUGUUGGAAAGUUUUUCGGUGUGGGAUGGGCCCGCGGCCUAUCAGCUUGUUGGUGGGGUGAUGGCCUACCAAGGCGACGACGGGUAGCCGGCCUGAGAGGGUGACCGGCCACAUUGGGACUGAGAUACGGCCCAGACUCCUACGGGAGGCAGCAGUGGGGAAUAUUGCACAAUGGGCGGAAGCCUGAUGCAGCGACGCCGCGUGCGGGAUGACGGCCUUCGGGUUGUAAACCGCUUUCGGCUGGGACGAAGCGUGAGUGACGGUACUGGCAAAAGAAGCACCGGCUAACUAUGUG